GUGUAAGUAUAAGCGAUUGUACUGUGAGACUGCGAACGGCUCAUUAUAUCAGUAAUAAUUUCUUCGGUAGUUUCUUUUAUAUGGAUACCUGCAGGGUUCUGGAAAUAAUACAUGCUGUAAGAGCCCUGUAUGGGGCUGCACUUAUUAGAUUGAAGCCGAUUUUAUUGGUGAAUCAUGAUAAUUGAGCAGAUUGACU
rnacentral:rRNA from 1 species